rnacentral:rRNA from 1 species
CAGUCGCCGCGGUAAUACCGAGGGUGCGAGCGUUAAUCGGAUUUACUGGGCGUAAAGCGUGCGUAGGCGGCUUUUUAAGUCGGAUGUGAAAUCCCUGAGCUUAACUUAGGAAUUGCAUUCGAUACUGGGAAGCUAGAGUAUGGGAGAGGAUGGUAGAAUUCCAGGUGUAGCGGUGAAAUGCGUAGAGAUCUGGAGGAAUACCGAUGGCGAAGGCAGCCAUCUGGCCUAAUACUGACGCUGAGGUACGAAAGCAUGGGGAGCAAACAGGAUUAGAUACCCGUGUAGUCCCUGUCUCUUAUAA